GUCAUCUACCGUCAUCUAGUGUCAUCUACUGUCAUCUACCGUCAUCUACCGUCAUCUAGUGUCAUCUACCGUCAUCUACCAUCAUCUAGUGUCAUAUACCGUCAUCUAGUGUCAUCUACCGUCAUCUAGUGUCAUCUACAGUCAUCUACUGUCAUCUACCUUCAUCUACCGUCAUCUACCGUCAUCUACUGUCAUCUAUCGUCAUCUACUGUCAUCUACUGUCAUCUACUGUCAUCUACUGUCAUCUACCGUCAUCUACCGUCAUCUACUGUCAUCUACUGUCAUCUACGGUCAUCUAGUGUCAUCUAGUGUCAUCUACCGUCAUCUAGUGUCAUCUACUGUCAUCUGUCAUCUACCGUCAUCUAGUGUCAUCUACCGUCAUCUACAGUGGC
rnacentral:lncRNA from 1 species